CAGUCGAGCGAGAAGGCCUUCGGGCUGAGUACAGCGGCGGACGGGUGAGUAACGCGUAGGAAUCUACCUGGUAGUGGGGGACAACAUGGGGAAACUCAUGCUAAUACCGCAUACGCCCUAUGGGGGAAAGCGGGGGACCUUCGGGCCUCGCGCUAUCAGAUGAGCCUGCGUAGGAUUAGCUUGUUGGUGAGGUAAAGGCUCACCAAGGCGACGAUCCUUAGCUGGUCUGAGAGGAUGAUCAGCCACACUGGAACUGAGACACGGUCCAGACUCCUACGGGAGGCAGCAGUGGGGAAUAUUGCGCAAUGGGCGAAAGCCUGACGCAGCCAUGCCGCGUGUGUGAAGAAGGCCUUCGGGUUGUAAAGCACUUUCAAUUGGGAAGAAAGGUUGCGUGUUAAUAGCACGUAGCUGUGACGUUACCUUUAGAAGAAGCACCGGCUAACUCCGUGCCAGCAGCCGCGGUAAUACGGAGGGUGCGAGCGUUAAUCGGAAUUACUGGGCGUAAAGCGCGCGUAGGCGGUUUGUUAAGUCGGAUGUGAAAGCCCCGGGCUCAACCUGGGAAUUGCAUUCGAUACUGGCCGACUAGAGUACGAGAGAGGGAGGUAGAAUUCCACGUGUAGCGGUGAAAUGCGUAGAUAUGUGGAGGAAUACCGGUGGCGAAGGCGGCCUCCUGGCUCGAUACUGACGCUGAGGUGCGAAAGCGUGGGUAGCAAACAGGAUUAGAUACCCUGGUAGUCCACGCCGUAAACGAUGUCUACUAGCCGUUGGGAGACUUGAUUUCUUAGUGGCGCAGCUAACGCACUAAGUAG
rnacentral:rRNA from 1 species